UCCUCCGCCCCCCUCCCCCCUGCACCGCUCCCUCCACUCCGCGGCGCGAGCCUUCCUCCUCGCAGACUCUCGACGUUCUCCUCCUCCUCCCUCGCUCACUCGCUCGCUCCUUCCCCCUCCCCGGCGGAACUCCUGUCAGCUGAACGGCAGCUUCCAGCGCACCUCUCGCUCCCCGGCAUCAUCCAGCACUCCGGUGCUGCGUCCGCGGGCUCCGCUCUCGGGGGCGUUCGGGGGAAGGGCUGAAAGAUGUCUAACUCUAAAAAGAAAAUGGGGUUCGGCAUUGUCACCUCUUGAGAAUCCAGAUCCUGCUCCAAUGCUGGGAGAAGCCCAGCUGCAGCCAGCAGCACCUCAGCUCCUGUAAUCCCAAAUCUUUUGCCUUCCAAAUCCACGUCUCAAGUCUGAUCACUUUAUUCUGCCUGCUAGUACCACAAAUGGCUACACAGAGAAAGCACUUUGUGAAAGAUUUCAACCCAUAUAUCACCUGCUGCAUCUGUAAAGGGUAUUUGAUCAAGCCAACUACUGUCACCGAGUGCCUGCAUACUUUCUGCAAGAGUUGUAUUGUGCAACACUUUGAAGACAGCAAUGAUUGUCCCAGAUGUGGCAAUCAAGUACAUGAGACCAAUCCAUUAGAAAUGUUACGGCUGGAUAAUACUUUAGAAGAAAUUAUAUUUAAGCUGGUUCCAGGACUUCGAGAGAAAGAAUUGCACCGUGAAGCUGAAUUCUGGAAGAAAAACAAACCUAUAGAAAAUGGAAAAGAAGAAAAUGCAAAUUCUGAAAAUCCUAAAGAUGGUGAAAAUGGAGAUGAAAACCAAGAUAAUAAAGACUAUCACAGAAGCGACCCACAGAUUGCUAUUUGUCUGGAUUGUUUACGUAACAAUGGGCAGUCUGGUGAUAAUGUAGUAAAAGGGUUGAUGAAGAAAUUCAUACGGUGUUCUACACGAGUAACUGUAGGAACGAUCAAGAAAUUUCUAAGUUUAAAAUUAAAGCUUCCAAGUUCUUAUGAGCUGGAUGUACUAUGCAAUGGGGAAAUCAUGGGGAAGGAUCAUACUAUGGAAUUCAUCUACAUGACAAGAUGGAGACUACGAGGCGAAAAUUUUCGGUGUCAGAACUGCUCCUCGUCACAAGUCUGCUCACAGGAUGGCUCUUUUUAUCAGUGACCAUAUUUUCAAAGAAGGAGAGUUAGUCCAGAAUGCCACAGAAUAUUAACCUUUGUCAUAAUGGACUUCUAAUCUGAAGUAUUCAUUGUAUGUUUCAAUUUUAUAUAACCAGUCUUAUCCCAUGGUACUCCAGUAUCGACCCAGAAUUGACUUCAGUUAAACCAAAGGGCCAGAUUCCACUGAGAUUAAACCUGCACUAUGUUGUUUACCCAUCGACAGAUUGCACAAUGAAUGGAUGUGCCUGGAUUGGGGGGGAGGGGGGAAAACCACUCGAAUUUCAACCUGCGAAUAUGGACUUCUCUUGAUCAAUUACUUUGUCCCUACUGUUAGAAUAAACCAAGUGCCAUUCUGCAACUGAAACAUUCACGAUAUAUUUGUGGCAUCAAAGACUGUAAAUUAUAGCCAAAUCAUUAAAUGUAUAGUCAAGAAAAAGAAUCUCUUGAACACUUGCUUUGCCUGAUAGAAAACUUCCAUAACACCAAUUACAAUUAGAAAAAAUAGCUGUCUUCUAUUUCUCUUGUGGUAUUGUUUUUUCACAUGUACUGUUUUACUGAAGAAAAAGUUGUUUAAAAGUACUGUAUAAAAGGUUAAAACUUUAAAUAUUUUGUAUAUAAUACAUGUUUCAGAAAAGUGGUUAUUUUACCACUACUUUUUCUUGUUCAGCUUCUCAUAGAAUCUGAUGUAGUUCACUCAUUGAUAUGCAGUGAUCAUUUAGCAGUAUCUGAACAGUUAGAAUUUGUAUCAAAGGAGUUGAAAACAUCCAAACUGAAUUGAACUUGACUGGUAUAAUAUCAUAUGAUCUCCUUUCAAUAAUACACAAAACUUUUAUUUAAAGUUUUGAUUUGGAGUAAUAAACACAUAGGCACAUGUGCAGCAGGUAAAAUGUUUUUAAAAGAAGAGAUAUUUUAAAUUUUAUUAUAAUUCAACUAAAAAGAAAAACACAAACUGUUGUGAAAACUUUAUUCUCAAAAUGUGGGUUAUAUUUUUAAUUGUUGUUGCCUUCCCUUUGAAAUUUGGUAAUAAUACUAGAAAGUUAUGGUCUUAAAUGUGUUGGAUUACAGCCACUGGAAUGGAACAUGCUUCUGUAUACUUUGAACAUAUUCAGUAAUAUGCAUCAGUACGCUUAUAAAAUGAGCCAGUUUAAUUGCAUCACAGGUUACCAGGAAUCUUACUGUUGUUAUAAAAUGGGUUGUCAAGUGUGAAACUCAAGUAAAUUUAAAUGGUUACAAAGCUAUGUGACCAAAACUGGCUGUUCAGGGUGUUUGGGGGUUUUUUUGGUUUUUUUUCAAAACAGUAGUGUUCAAAAAUGUUAAUGGUUGCCUUAGGUAUUACAUGUGAAUUCUUUCUUGUUCAAUAAUGUUGUGUUAUGGAUAAUACUAGAGAAAUCACAAUGUAUUGUAUACUGUUUUUUCUUGUCUUCCAUUACCUUUUUGCAGUUAAAAACCAAGGUAACAGUCAAGUUUAAUGAUUUGUACAAUUUUUAAUAAACAUCAUUCUUUAUAUAGUAAAUUACAUACCAUAAGUCAAGUAAUUCAGUCUAGAAAACUAUUGAGUUUUGGAAACUAAGCUCAAAUACUGUAUGCCUUCCUUGUAAUACAGGGGUCUUGUAAGUAAGAGCAUAUAAAGUAGAUCAUUAUUUCUAGAGGAAAAAUGUGCUAUUUGCACCAGGUCAAAUCCCAGACGAAUAGACUUGGUUCUAAGGUUCUAGUCUAGAGUAAUCAGCUAUAGAUUAAAAUACCAUGCAAUGCUUGUUAUGCUUGGGGCCAGCACUUUCUGACAAAUGUAAAGAAUUCUCAGUUAAAUGUUAAAUCAUCUGUUAAAUGUUCUCAGCUCAUUGAAAAAGUAUCAUUUGUACAUGCUUCUUUUGUUAGAUACAAUUGAUUGGAUCGAAAUGAUAGUUUCAGCUCUCGCCUAGGGUUUUUUCUUCUUUUUUGAAUAGUUAAAUACGUCUUAUGGCAUACUAAAAAAAUAAUUUUGCCAUUCCCUUUCAUUUUCAAAACAGCUGAUACAUUGCUUUUGAAGCUACUUUUAAAUAUACAAAACUUUGGGUCCUUGGAACUCAUUCUGUGAAUCUUAGUCAGAAUUUUGUAUAUUCUGAUUGAGUUUACCCAUUGUGCUUUGUUAUCAUAAAGUUUGUUUGGUUUUGGCUUAGCUUAAGCUAUGAACCCAUGUGGUUUGUAAACUAUGAUUGAUGGCUUAGAUAACAUAUUAACUCAGCUAGUCAAUCAUGCCAUACAUAACACUGAAAAAGUCAGAUAUAGUUGGGGACCUGAUUACAUAAAGUUGUACAUAAAGCUUUUUCAGUCUUCAGUUUAACAUGUAUAUAAUGACAACAGAUUUCUUAAUGCAUUCAGUGUCUUAAGAGUGGCUUUGAAUAUUCCCUUCAACAAGGGGGUAAAAGAUAUGAGUAAUUUGUGGGUUUCAUUCCAUAAUUCUGGAUAACCCCCAAAACUGCAAUUCCCAUAUUUCUGGGAUAAAUGACUAUGAACCUAGAAGUAUGUAUGUCUCCCCAUGGAGAGGAUACAUAGGAUAUUACUUUUUCUUUUAUCCCAAACCCUAGGAAAUCGAUGCAUAGUUCAAAUUUUCAGGGCUUUUGGGCAAAUCUAAAUUUGCCUGCUCCUAAGACAUCUAUCAAUACAGAUCAGUCCUACAUAAUGCCUUUAUUACUUUUUCUGGUAUUUUUGUAAUUAAUUGAAAGAUAUUCCAUUACUACUAAGCAAACAUGGCUAACUCAUUAGCAGUGAGACUUAUCUGUCCCUAUAUAGCAGGGGUCUUCAAACAUAGCCCUUUUAUGUCUUUUCAACUCCCAGAAUUCCUCAGUUAGCUUGCCUGGCUGAGGAAUUCUGGGAGUUGAAGUCCACAUAUCAUGAAAGGGCCAAGUUUGAAGACUCCUGCUACAUACUAAUAGGGAGCAUCUAGUCUUUUUCUCAUGUCAGCAUUCUGUCAGGCUCAGCAUUGUUAAAAUUAAACAUCCAUGCAACUGUAAAAGCAUUCUUGAUUUUACAAUUAAGUUGUAAACAGUUUUUGUUUCAGAUUUCCUCUGCAGAGUGAGUAAUUAUUGCUUUAGCUUGUCUCAUUAGAAGAAAUGUAAUAUUCCAUAGGUUAAUUCCAACUGAUCUGUGUUACAUUUUCAAUCUCCUAUUUCUUAUUAUAUUGCAGAAGACUGAAGCAUUUUGUCCAAAUCAUCCAAAAUAUUUUUUCCACUGUACCUAGCAGGGAUUUUGCCUUUUGCAAUACAUAAAGGAUCAUAUGAAAACAAAUGUUUGGGCUCUGAGUAAAAAGACUUUCAACAGCAAUUCAAUGAAUUUCCAGAUUUCAGAACCAGUUUAUUUCAUUUUUGUGAUAUGAUUUAACCAUGAUUAGUAAGAUUUUUCCAAAUGAGUUGGGAAAAAAGAGUGCAAAAGUCCGAGAUAUGACUUCUCAGCUAUGAAAGUAAAAGCCUUAAAAUAUUUCUUGCACAUCUAACCUCCUUGUGGCCUACAAAUUUGCAUUUCUGAUACAGUGCAUUGUACCUCUACAUUAUAGAUGCUUUUUGUCAAAAUUCAUAACAUAUUAAUAUAGUGUUAAAGAAUCUGAGCAUUUCCUUGUAAAACAUGAAGAGAAGCUUUUGUUUAGCCACUGAACCAAAAAUUAUAUACGCUUUUACUCUACAAUAAUUUUCCACAAAGCAGCACAAAGGAAAUGGAAUUAUCCAUUAAAAGCAAUAAAACAAAAUUUAAUUGGGGAGUAGGUUCCCUUUUCAUCAGUAUCCUAUUCACGUUAGAUGCUUGUGAAUGUGGCACGUGUGCUCAGGCUUAUUUCAAAAUAUGUCCUAUUCUCUGAACAAGAGGAAACUCCAGGAGGGGCUGGACAGGGUUCCAGUGGCUUGUGCGCCAUGACUUGCAUCAUAUGCCAUGAGGCCAUUGACACAGGUUGUAUGACCACAUCGUUUGUCCAGUGAAGUUUAGGUGUAACUCAUAAUGUACACUGCUGCUAGGAAGUACUGUAGUUCAGGGAGAAGCUAAAUCUUUUUAGGUAGAAAAGUCUCAAAAUAAUUGGCAUCUUCAGCUAAAAAACAAGUUCUAUGUAGAAGUAUAGAUAAUUCCCUGCAGUAUGUGGAGAUAGUACUGAGUUGAUAGAAAGCACUACUGUAAAAUAUUUUAAUAUACUGUACUUUGAAGGAGAAUGUGCUUGCUAUAUUGAAGCAAAUGUCUUUAUUUAAAUGUUACAAUUUAGAUUUAUCUGUCUGCACAAACACAAAGGUAAAGCUUUUUUUUUUUUUUGCUUUUGUUAAUGGUAUUUUAGCUAGCUAGCUAUAAUACACUUUCCAGUUACCUUUAUGACAAGCGAUCUGUCAUUUUUAAUGGAAGCUCAUCUCAAGUUCUUACAUGAUUCAAUUAUUUUAAAUAAAUUAUGGAAACCUAUAGACUAUUAAAAUAUUCAGUUCUCCAAGAGAGAGCUGAUGCUUGCCAUUAUUUACAUGGAAAGUACUAUGAAAGCUGUGCAGGAAGAAUAGGAUUCUGAAUAUUUUUGAGUUACUAAAACAAAGUAGAUUGAAUAUGCAGUGGGAUCCACUGAUUUUUUAUAUGUGAUAAACAGAUUAUAAUAAUAUAAAAGAAAAAUUUGAAAAAUGUCUAACAUUCUUUUAAAAAAUGUCCAAAGUCACUUGCUUCAAAAAUAUUUUUCCUUCUUUCUUUCUUGUUUCUUUUUUUCUUGUUCUUUUUCUUUCUCAUUCUUUCUCUCUUAUUCUCUCUCUUUCUCACUUUGUCUCUUUUUUUUCUUUUGCAUUUUUACUUCCUGAAUUGUUGCUUUGAAAUUUGAGUUUCCUUAGAAUUGAUCUUGCUGGUCUUUUUUUAAGGCCUAACUUUAUAGAAAUAACUUAUAUUUUUAUUAAAAUAUUUAUAUGAAUUGAAAGUAAAUACUCUGUUAGAAUGCUAGUUGUAAAUUCUGGAGUUAUAACCGAUAUUAUCAUGAAAACACCAGAUUGGAGAAUGUUGGUUAUUAGUCACCUCUGCUUCUCAGUGAUGUUUUCUAGCUGCAGAGAAGCAAUUUUCAAAGUAGUCCUGAGUAACACAGCCCCCCCCCCCCACUCAGGAAACAGGAAGUGGAAAUUUCAGAUUUCUGUUUUUAUUGCCAUUGGUUGUAAUUUAUUUAGCCACUGAACCAAAAAUCCAAUACACUCUUACUCUACAAAGCACAAAACUGAACAGAUUGUUAGCCUUUUAAAAUAAUUAUGGUUUCACAAUUACCUAUUUAAUAUAAAGUGAUACAAUAUUAGCAUUUGCUUGGCAAAUACUAUAUUUUACCUUAAAAUUGAUAUCAGUAACACCUGUCCUACAGAUUUACAGGUAAGGCAAUGUUGGGUACUAAUUUUUUUCCAAAGUAUUUCUUAAUUUAAUGGAAAACUUUCAAGAACUCUGUUUUUUUAAUAUUUUCUUCUAAAAAUAUAUAAUAGAUUCUUUGCUCGAAUUGAGAAUCAUACUAUUUCCAUAGGCCUUCUCGUUUUUUACGAUUAGCCAUUUAAAAUGAAGAUAUGAUGAAAUUCUUUUAAAAAAACAUAUUCCAGAUAACUAUUGGAAAAUAAAAUUGGAAAUAAAAACAUCCAUAACUUCAUGGAGCUAAAAAACAUACCUAAGAAUUGUCUUUAUAAAUUCCAAAAAAUGACAAAAAGUAUGACACAUGUAGUAAUUCUCUUGUACUUCUUUCUGAUUGAUUCUCACUAUAGAAAACUCUUGUAAUAUGUACACCUUAAUGCACAAUAUUUCAUUGUUAUCUCUUUUUUUUAAGUUGGAAAUAUUUUACAGAAUUUUUUGUCAAAAUUAGUAAUACCUUAAGAAAUCUUUUUGUGGUUGUAAAAGAUUAUGAAUAUUCAAAUUGAAGUGAAAAGGGGUCAUUAUUAAUGACUUGGUCUCUUCUACGUGUUAAAAUACAUGUAUUUUUGUAAAAGAAAUGCACUUGUAAAUAUUCAAUCAACCUGUUUUGUUUUGGAAAAAAAUGUUGCUGCUUAGGGAAUUACCUAGAAAUGGUAUUGCUUUGUAUUCAUGACAAAUUCAUUCUGUUCAUGUCUAAAUAGUUACAGCUGAGCUAGAUGCAUUUUAUAUAUGGACUUAACCCAAAUAUGUCUUGAGCAUGCCACACAAGUUUCUCAUUAAAUUCACCUGAAGGCAGAAUA